AGCAAAGAUAAAAACGCAACGCGCAUUUUUCUAUGCGCCAGAGCCGGUAGGUAGCCCGGCCGUCUCAUUGUUACAGAUGAGGUAAGUAACCUGCCCCUCCGGGUUGUCCAUUCUUUGCUCAU
rnacentral:ncRNA from 1 species